rnacentral:misc_RNA from 1 species
GGACGAAGCCAUAUGGGAAGUUCCUGAAAACAUGAUCCCUUAGCAAGUUAUAAUUUUCGCAUAAAGGUAAGGCAGCAGUACAGAGAGAAAGGAACACAUGCUGAAAUCCUAUCAUUUUAUCCAAUAACAAAAUGACAGCAUAUAAACUAUGAAAAAAUUUAGCUACAACUAUGAAAUGAAUAAAUAAUGCCUAAAUGAGUAAAAUAUACUUCUAAGACUAAAAUAAUGAAUUAAAUCCAGUAACAUAGCAGAAAGAUGAAAGCACCACUUAGCAGUCACAACGGCAGAGUUAAGAACAUAUAAACAUUGAGGUUGAAAAUAGUCAGUCUACAUGAACUUGUAGGGUUAAAUUGAUAAGUACUUUAAAGCCCCUCAGUAAAUGUUCCACUAUAGCCAAGACAAAAUCCUAAGAUUAGGUGCUCACUGCUCAAACAUAAGCAUCCCUCCAAGGUACAUGCAAAGCUAC